GUUGGAGUCGCAGCGGAAAUUUGACUUCUAAUAAUGAUAUGAAAUAUCACCCUCACUAAAGUUGAACAUAAAAUAAUGUAGCUAGAACAAUAAACUUGUAUAAAGAAAUAUGUCUAAGAAGAAAAGAUUGAACUUAUGAGAUAAUACUACUUUGUAUAUAUGUUGUUACUCUUUGUUUUUUUAUUACAAAACAAUAUAGACUUAGUUUAAAUAGUAGACUACAUGCUAUAAAUUGAUAGAACAGAAUUAAACGUAAACAUAAGCCUCAACUUUCUUUCCUUCCUAUUUGUCCUAUUUCCAUAUUUAGCUUCUGCUGAAUAUUUCCACAAUUCUCCACCUCGUUCAUAAUUUGAAAUAUUCAAAUUUUGGACGAAUAUGGAAUAAUGUUUAGCAAGUUCAAGCAGUGUUGGAACUUGCUACCUGAU
rnacentral:lncRNA from 1 species